rnacentral:tRNA from 1 species
AGCAAUCCAACGCUUUAGUCACUCAGCCAUCUCUC